AAGUUAAAUGCAAAGAGACUAUAAAUUGGAGAUAGAUGUCACCAUCGAAGUCAUCUUCUCCACAAUCAUCACAAAAUAAGCAUUUUCAUUUUUAUUGAUAGAAUUUGUUUUUAUAUUUAUUCUUAUUUUCUUAAUGGUAGACUAUCCGACUAAAAUUUACAUAUAUUCUAAAAUUUAAAAGUUUAUUAAAUAUUUAUAGAGACCGCAAAAAGUGGACAAAUUUACUAAAAACCUUUUUGAAAAAAAAAACACUAUUCAGCUUUUAAAAUCUUAAUAAAUUUUCUUAGAUUUUAUAUUUAAGAUGUUAAUAUAGCAAAUCUCUCCAAAUUAAUAAUUAUGUUGAAUGGAAAGUGUAAAGGACAAAAAGAAAGUGAAAGUAAAAAAAAAAGUUAAAUGCAAAGAGACUAUAAAUUGGAGAUAGAUGUCACCAUAGAAGUCAUCUUCUCCAUAUUCAUCACAAAAUAAGCAUUUUAAUUUUUGUUAUUUCAUCUUACAUCCCAUUGCUUAUUUUAAGAGAAUUUCAGUCCCUUCAAUUAACGUUUCAUAAAAACGUGCAUCCACAAGGAUGAAGUUGGUGAUUUUCAUCUCGUUGUUGCUUGUAUUUCCAUUGUGUUCUUCAGGUAUUCACAAAUUACGUUAUCAAAAUCCAUCUCUAAGUAUAACACAUUAAUUAAACUUUAAGAAUUAAAAUAGAAUACACUACAACAUCUGUUUCAAAUUAAUAUAUGUAUUAAAAAAAUUCGCGUAUGUUAAGAAAAACAAUGGUUUAGCAUUUUAGCAAUUUAGUAAAUUCAUUUUUAAGUUUACAAUGUAUCAUCAUCAAGACAUCAACUAAUAAAUAUAUUUCAUUUUUCUUAAAAAAUAAUUAUUUUAAAUCAAACAGCAUUUAUGAAAACUAUAAGAAAGUUGUUUUUAAGUCUAUAUAAAUAGUUGUAACCAUUUACCCAAGUUCUGGUGUAGUUUAUACGGAUUUCAAAAUUUUAAUAAUAUAUUUGAUUUCAGUAGAAAUACUAAUAUACACCUUUGAUUAUAUUAACAAAAAUAAAAAUAUAUACAUGUACAUAUAUAUAUAUAUAUAUAUUUGCAUUUGCAUCUGCUUUUUCGUAGGAUUUGAAAAGGACGAUGAAGUUACUCAAGUCAGCCAACAUUCAUCAGACAAGGUUGUUGACAACCUGAUGGACUAUGGAUACUUAUUACCUCCCCCUCCCAGAAGUCCACGACCUCCUCACGCGUCGCCCACUGAUCCUCCACCGCCGCCACCACCGCAUCCACCAAUAAAUGAUAUUUUACAGUAAAGGAGAAAUAUAUGUAAUAAUGGAUCAGUCUUAUCAUUAAUUGUAAUAGCAAUUAUGUCAUAGUAAUCCAUGACUAGACUGUCUAAAUAUAAAUUUAUUAAGAGACUUAUCGUCAUUAAACAAAUAAUAUAUUUUCAAAGAUAGAAA